rnacentral:rRNA from 1 species
CCUACGGGAGGCAGCAGUGAGGAAUAUUGGUCAAUGGGCGCGAGCCUGAACCAGCCAAGUCGCGUGAGGGAUGAAGGUUCUCUGGAUCGUAAACCUCUUUUAUAAGGGAAUAAAGUGUGGGACGUGUCCUAUUUUCUAUGUACCUUAUGAAUAGGGAUCGGCGAACUCCGUGCCAGCAGCCGCGGUAAUACGGAGGAUCCGAGCGUUAUCCGGAUUUAUUGGGUUUAAAGGGUGUGUAGGCGGGCUUUUAAGUCAGCGGUGAAAGGCUGGGGCGCAACCAUUGAAUUGCCGUUGAAACUGGGGGGCUUGAGUAUGUUAGAGGCAGGCGGAAUGCGUGGUGUAGCGGUGAAAUGCUUAGAGAUCAAGAAGAACCCCGAUUGCGAAGGCAGCCUGCCAGGCCAUGACUGACGCUGAUGCACGAAAGCGUGGGGAUCAAACAGGAUUAGAUACCCUGGUAGUC